rnacentral:rRNA from 1 species
CAGGCCUAACACAUGCAAGUCGAACGGGCACCUUCGGGUGUCAGUGGCAGACGGGUGAGUAACACGUGGGAACGUACCCUUCGGUUCGGAAUAACUCAGGGAAACUUGAGCUAAUACCGGAUACGCCCUUUUGGGGAAAGGUUUACUGCCGAAGGAUCGGCCCGCGUCUGAUUAGCUUGUUGGUGGGGUAACGGCCUACCAAGGCGACGAUCAGUAGCUGGUCUGAGAGGAUGAUCAGCCACACUGGGACUGAGACACGGCCCAGACUCCUACGGGAGGCAGCAGUGGGGAAUAUUGGACAAUGGGCGCAAGCCUGAUCCAGCCAUGCCGCGUGAGUGAUGAAGGCCUUAGGGUUGUAAAGCUCUUUUAUCCGGGACGAUAAUGACGGUACCGGAGGAAUAAGCCCCGGCUAACUUCGUGCCAGCAGCCGCGGUAAU